rnacentral:rRNA from 1 species
UACGUAGGUGGCAAGCGUUGUCCGGAUUUACUGGGCGUAAAGCGUGCGCAGGCGGUGAUGUAAGACAGUUGUGAAAUCCCCGGGCUCAACCUGGGAAUUGCAUCUGUGACUGCAUCGCUAGAGUACGGUAGAGGGGGAUGGAAUUCCGCGUGUAGCAGUGAAAUGCGUAGAUAUGCGGAGGAACACCGAUGGCGAAGGCAAUCCCCUGGACCUGUACUGACGCUCAUGCACGAAAGCGUGGGGAGCAAACAGG